rnacentral:rRNA from 1 species
GAUGAACGCUGGCGGCGUGCCUAAUACAUGCCAGUCGAGCGAACGGACGAGAAGCUUGCUUUUCUGAUGUUAGCGGCGGACGGGUGAGUAACACGUGGAUAACCUACCUAUAAGACUGGGAUAACUUCGGGAAACCGGAGCUAAUACCGGAUAAUAUUUUGAACCGCAUGGUUCAUAAGUGAAAGACGGUCUUGCUGUUACUUAUAGAUGGAUCCGCGCUGCAUUAGCUAGUUGGUAAGGUAACGGCUUACCAAGGCAACGAUGCAUAGCCGACCUGAGAGGGUGAUCGGCCACACUGGAACUGAGACACGGUCCAGACUCCUACGGGAGGCAGCAGUAGGGAAUCUUCCGCAAUGGGCGAAAGCCUGACGGAGCAACGCCGCGUGAGUGAUGAAGGUCUUCGGAUCGUAAAACUCUGUUAUUAGGGAAGAACAUAUGUGUAAGUAACUGUGCACAUCUUGACGGUACCUAAUCAGAAAGCCACGGCUAACUACGUG